GACGUGACUUCAGAGUUUGAUCCUGGCUCAGGACGAACGCUGGCGGCGUGCCUAACACAUGCAAGUCGAGCGGAGACAUACAGCGGAUAGGAAGUUUUCGGAUGGAAUUGAAGAAGUAUGUUUUAGCGGCGGACGGGUGAGUAACGCGUGAGCAAUCUGUCCUUCACAGGGGGAUAACACGGCGAAAGUUGUACUAAUACCGCAUAAGACCACGGUGUUGCAUGACACAGGGGUCAAAGGAGGAAUCCGGUGAAGGGUGAGCUCGCGUCCGAUUAGAUAGUAGGUGAGGUAACGGCCCACCUAGUCGACGAUCGGUAGCCGACCUGAGAGGGUGAUCGGCCACAUUGGGACUGAGACACGGCCCAA
rnacentral:rRNA from 1 species